rnacentral:rRNA from 1 species
UACAGAGGGUGCAAGCGUUAAUCGGAAUUACUGGGCGUAAAGCGUGCGUAGUCGGUUAUUUAAGUCGGGUGUGAAAGCCCCGGGCUCAACCUGGGAAUUGCAUUCGAUACUGGAUAGCUAGAGUUCGGCAGAGGGAAGCGGAAUUUCCGGUGUAGCGGUGAAAUGCGUAGAUAUCGGAAGGAACAUCAGUGGCGAAAGCGGCUUCCUGGACCAGAACUGACGAUCAGGCAUGAAAGCGUGGGGAGCAAACAGG